GCCCGGUUAGCUCAAUCGGUAGAGCGUGAGACUCUUAAUCUCAAGGUUGCGGGUGAGUAGUUUUCAAACACGAAGUUCCAUGAAAAAAUACUAAUCCUUCAUAGGUUCGACCCCCGCAUUGGGCU